rnacentral:misc_RNA from 1 species
ACACAAUUCAGUGUUAAUCCUUUCAUUGCUAGCGUUUCUCCAUGGUCAGGAAAUUUCUUGAGAAUAGUGUCAGCAGCUUUCAAGCCUUUCUUAUACUGCUUUGUCUCAUAUGAUUUAACGAUGAGUUUGAAGAGGUUGGCCUCUUUGGCAGGAAGCGAAGCCCCCAUUUUUGAAUAGCGAGGGUUCUAGAGAGAGAAAGAGGAAGAAGAUUGCAGGUAG